rnacentral:snRNA from 1 species
AUACUUACCUGGGCAGGGUCGAUCAAUGAUCAGGAAGGUCGAUGGCCUAGGAAGGCCACCGCCAUUGCACUUGGGAGGGGGGUCUACCUAGCAUCUCCCACUGAGGAGAGUGCACGUCAUAAUUUGUGGCAGUGGAGGCUCGCGUUCGCUCGGCCUCCAC